CUUGACUCUGGCGUCACAAACACAGCUUCUUGGAAUCUCAUGCCUGUUACUGGCUGUGUGAUCUGGAGCAACUGGCUUCACCUCUCUGAGCCUUUAUUUCCCACAUCUGCAAAGUGGUGCACAGUAAUACCCACGUUCCUGGCUCUGUGUAAGGAGCCAUGAGAGUGUAUUUAAAGGGCCCAGCACCCAGCUGCUCUCAGUAGAUGCUCAAGAGACAGUAACAACCCUAUCGUUAUAUGAGGUUCAAUGCAACUCAUCUGAUUCCCCUUCCAGUGGCUGGAGAACAUCCCACCUUCUGAGCCUUGGGGAGAAGCAGAGUGUGCCCUUUCCCUGCCCACUGGAGAAGCUGAAACAACAAAAACUCCCUUCCCUGGCCUCCCUGCAGGAGACUCCAGGAAGACUCCUGAAUGCCACACACUCCUAAACCUGAGAGACCUUCAUGCAGAUUGGGGAGCAGCUUUAGGACUGCUGGGUGGAGCCACAAUGAGACAGAUAAGCUCCAGGAAAAUAAGAAGUGCCGAAACAAUGGAGCCACCCAACAAAAAGGGCUGCCACUGCAAGUGGUGAGCUUCCUGUUACUGGAGUAAGUCAAAGAUGGUGUCGAAAAUGGUGAAAUCAAGAACUAGUGCUUAGAAUUAUGGAGAUUUAAAAACAGAAGAGACACCUCCCAGAGUUGCAAGUGGUCGCCUGUCCCAGAGAGCUGGUGAGAUGAGGUGGGGAGGUGGCAGCUGAGUUUUAUGGUGAGAAAGUGGAGUUCGAAGAUGUCAUCAGCCCAGGUCACACAGAUGGUGGAGACCAGUGUGGAGCCCGGGAGUGGGCUGAGCAGAGCAUCUGGACUUUGAGCUUCCAUCAGACCCUGAGAUAGUCACCUGUCCUGGCUGCCUGGUGACCCUGGUGUGCUAACGUGGCACUUAUCUUGCUCUAUGGAGGCCCCUGGGCCCCCUAAACACCAGGUGGGUGCCUUCAGCCAGCCCCAUACUGACCUGUGAAGCCCAGGUAUUGCUGGCCAACCCACCCCACUCACAGACAGAAGCAGUUCUCCAUCUUUUGGCUUUAGCAGAUCUGCUUCAUUUCUCCUCCCCACAAAGCCUGGACUUUGUUCUGGGGGUAUCCCUGUUUGCAGUGAAGCUUUUUCACUCAGUGCUCAAUCUGAGCCCAACUCCACCCCACAUCUCUGAUUCAUAGACUUUUGUGACUGCCUUGACCAGUAGAGUAUGGCAGAAGAUGCUCUGUAACUUCCCAGGCUAGAUCUAGAAAAUGCCACGCAUUUCUGCCUUGCUCUCCUGCGACAUCCACUCUUAGAACCCAGUUGCUGUGCUAAAAAGAACUCACAGACCACGUGGAGUGGAGCAGAUGGGUCAGUGUCCCAGGUGGCAGCCCGUGUCGGCCUCAGACCUGCACGUGAGGAUGCCCACCAGAGGGUUCCUGCCACCACCGUCAAGUCACCCCAGCCUUAAUCUUCCAGCCGGCGCCUCAGGCAUUAUGGGCAGAGGUAAACUGUCUCCAUGAUGCCCUUUCCAAAUUUCUGACCCACAGAAUCCAUGGCUAUAAUAAAAUGGCUGUCUUAUGUGCUCAA
rnacentral:lncRNA from 1 species